UGAAGAUCAGAGAUUGCAGCGGCAGGGAACGCGUUACGGCUCUGGCCAACGGAUUGGAAUGCAGCAGAAGACUCUCAAUGAGCUGCAAGUGGGUGCUUCACGCGUCUGGGAAAGCAAGCACAGAUGCUGCCCCCAAUGGCAGCCGGAAUAAACAGCAAAGUGUACAGGUGGAACUUUCCCAGCAGGUUGCUGCAAACAGCAAUGGAUGUCAAGGGUUAUCAGUCAUCAAACAUGCCCCGCGUACGUACCGUAGGCUGCACAUGGAGAUCGAUAUGAGGCUGGCAUUCGCCACGCCGCCGAGUACCAGUUGGGCAUAGUACCACAACGAAUCCAGCAGUAGGUUUAGCGACAACCAGCCACCGCCCGAAAGGAUGCCGUGCUUCCCCAAAUGCAGCAAGACCACUGGCAGAUAAUACUUCGAGUUGGACCAGGCAAAGCGGCAGACAUUUUCGAGUGCCGCCCGCCGGCAGCUACGCGGAUGGAGCAGCUCUUGGCAGCUGCGCCAGCGAAUGGUCUCCUCCAACGACUUGCUCAGCGCAGCCAUAGAAACGCACGACUGGAGGAGAGUCGUUGCAAACGCCACUUGGCUGCCUAAAGAGUGCUAAUUUAUUUCCGAAUACUCGUACAUAAUGAAUAAUAUUGUUUGAAUUUCAGAAUUCGUUUGCGGCGUUUAGUCAACCUCUUCCACGGUGGGUCCGGUGCCAUUGCCAGUCUGCUGUUUGCCUUUCUGACCGGCGCCGCCAUGCAACUUGGUCAUAAUGGGACUGCACACGCGUUGGGUGUCCUUUAUGUGGUGCUCGUACUCUUCCUUCUCGGCCAGCGUGUUCUUGUCCAGCCAGGCCAUCUCGGAGGAGCACUUGUCGCGCACCGUGGUGCGAUCGGCAUCGGAGAGGACCCCAGAGGCCGCCUCCUCAACCGCCUGCUUGCAUCCGUAGAGGUAUCCCUCGAGAGUGUUGCGGGCCUGGACCCGCUCGCGCUGCUUUUCGUCCUCGUCCUUGUAUUUCUCGGCAUCGGAGAGCAUGCGGUCGAUUUCGGCCUUGGACAGACGACCCUUGUCGUUGGUGAUAGUGAUCUUCUCGGACCUGCCGGAGCUGUGGUCCUUGGCGGCGACAUUCAGAAUGCCAUCGGCGUUCAGGUCAAAGGUCACAUCAAUCUGGGGCACGCCACGUGGAGCCGGCGGAAUGCCGUUUAGGUUGAAGGUGCCCAAGAGAUUGUUGUCCUUGGUCAUGGCACGCUCGCCCUCGAACACCUGGAUGGUCACGGCGUUCUGGUUGUCGCUGUAGGUGGUGAAGGUCUGCUGCUGCUUGCAGGGAAUCCGGGCGUUACGCUCCACCAGCUUGGUCAUCACUCCGCCGGCCGUCUCGAUGCCGAGGGAGAGUGGAGCCACGUCCACCAGAAGCAGAUCCUGGAUCUUGGAGCUGCCGACCCCCGUGAGGAUGGCAGCCUGCACUGCGGCGCCAUAGGCCACGGCCUCGUCGGGAUUGAUGGACAAGUUCAACUGCUUGCCUCCAAAUAGGUCCUGCAGGAGGCGCUGUAUCUUGGGAAUACGCGUGGAGCCGCCCACCAGGACCACAUCGUGGAUGGACUUCUUGUCCAUCUUGGCAUCGCUGAGCGCACGCUCCACUGGCUGCAUGGUCGAGCGGAACAGGUCCAUAUUCAGCUCCUCGAAGCGGGCACGCGAAAUCUUCGAAUAGAAGUCAAUGCCCUCGUGCAAGGCAUCUAUCUCCAAGGAGGCCUCCGUGCUGGAGGACAGCGUGCGCUUGGCCCGCUCGCAGGCAGUGCGCAGGCGGCGAAGGGCCCGCACAUUGCCCUUGAUGUCGGCCUUGUACUUGCGCUUGAACUCCUCCAUGAAGUGGUUGACCAGACGGUUGUCGAAGUCCUCGCCGCCCAGAUGGGUGUCGCCGGCCGUGGCCUUGACCUCAAACAGCGACCCCUCGUCGAUGGUCAGAAUGGACACGUCGAAGGUGCCGCCGCCCAAAUCGAAUAUGAGAACGUUGCGUUCGCCCUUCAGAUUCUUGUCCAGACCGUACGCCAAGGCAGCGGCCGUGGGCUCGUUGAUUAUUCUGAGCACGUUGAGACCGGCAAUGGAGCCGGCAUCUUUGGUCGCCUGCCGCUGGCUGUCGUUGAAGUAGGCCGGCACUGUGAUGACGGCAUCCUUCACCUUGCCACCCAGAUAUAGUUCGGCAAUCUCGCGCAUCUUGGUCAGGACCAUCGAGCUGAUCUCCUCGGGGGCAAAGCGCUUGCGCUCGCCCUUGAACUCGAUCUCAAUUUUGGGCUUACCCCCGUCGUUAACGACUUUGAAGGGCCAGUGCUUGAGGUCCUCCUGGAUCUUCUUGUCGUCGAACUUGCGGCCAAUCAGUCGUUUCGCAUCGAAGACCGUAUUCUUGGCGUUCAUGGCAACCUGCGGAGGGUGGGAUCGGGUGUGGAAACGGGAUUAGUCAGCGCAUUCGCUAUUUAUAUACGGCCACUAUUUGGCCAAGUGUCGGCAGGCGCCCAUCCACCCACACAUGACGCUGAUGCUGCUUUCAUAUUUAUUUGUGUACAUACAUAUAUAUACAGUUCCAAUUAAAUCGCUCAAAUCGGAUCACAUCAUCAUCAUCGCUGCAGCAGGCAUCUAUGUUCGUAUAUCUGACCAUAUCGGCGCACGCUCAUAUUUGGACAAUCAUAAUUGGCCCCCGUUUGGUGGUGGCCUGACCCUGACUCACCUGGUUCUUGGCCGCAUCGCCAAUCAGGCGCUCCGUGUCGUUGAAUGCCACAUAGGAGGGGGUCGUCCGGUUGCCCUGGUCGUUGGCUAUGAUCUCCACCUUGCUGUUCUGCCACACUCCCACGCAGGAGUAGGUGGUUCCCAAAUCGAUUCCGAUUGCCGGUAUCUUGGCCAUUCUGACGCGAUCUUGUAUGUAUGUAUGUAUCUACCGAUAGUUCCAAACUGUUCUCAAAGAUUCGGCGGCACCUGCUGCUGCGUCUGCUGUUUUCGAUCAACUAAAGGCGUGCGUUCGUUGCGUCGAUUUUUAUGGUGCAGAAAAUUCUACAAAACGAGCCGAAUUUUGUUUUCUUAUUUUUUCA